GUAGGCAUAGUUUAACAAAAACACCAGAUUGUGAUUCUAGAGACAGAGGUUAAACUCCUCUUGCCCACC
rnacentral:tRNA from 1 species